rnacentral:lncRNA from 1 species
AGGUGGGUCCGCUUAGACUAAUAAUAGAAUCGAGUCAUGGUGUCUUCUACGGCGUCGGAUGGAUACAAAAGCAGGUGAGCUGGCACCAAAGUUGGCGCACGUACAACAGUUUCCAGCGAACGAAGCAUCAACGUCAAAAAUUAUUCUGGCCUCGUGUCGUUUCCUUAUAUACCCUUUGUCGUUUCUAGUUAACCCCCACGUACGCUUUGUUUAUAAGUAAUAAUAAUUUACUUUUAGA